rnacentral:lncRNA from 1 species
CGCGCGGUGACCGUCGAGGUGACCUGCACCUGGCUCCAUGGCGGAACCGGCCGGCACGGAUUAUUCCCCUCUCGGGAGAGGUCUGCAGCCGGGCCUCAGUGCUUCAGUUCGUGGCCUGGCAUUUUGUGAAGAGUGUCUUCAUCUCUGCAUCCCUAGUGCAACAGAGCAUGACAAAAAUUCAACAAAUAUUUAUUGAAGAGUCUUGAUGUCUUUUGGGAAAGGAACUCUAUGGUUACCUUUACUCUAAGUUAAAAACAACAACAACAACAACAAAAACACAAAACCCUGAGGCUCAGAAGAUAAAUAUUUGCUGAAGAUCACUGUGCUUAUUAGAUGGGUGUUACUGAUUCUUACCUCAGAGAAGAGAAUGUCAUGGAGACAAAAUGACCUGCUUAGAGUUCUGCACCCCCCAGCAUGGAGAGCAGAGCGCAAAGAUUUCUUCCGGACUCCCACAUUCCCCUUGGAAUCCAAGAACUGGUCUACUGUCACAACACUUUAGUACCCUCUUAGAUGGGGAUCUCACUCUGUUGCCCAGGCUGGUCUCAAACUCCUGGCUUCAAGCAAUCCUCCUGCUUCGGCCUCCCAAACUUCUGGGAUUACAGAUAUGAGCCACCACGGCUGGCUGACAGGCACCAAAUUCUAGGAGAGGACUUGAAUAGACUCCCAAGGAGGCAGCAGAAACUGGGGUAAUCACAACGGUCAACAGCAGCAAAGGCAGCACUUUCUGA